UAACGAAAUGUUAUAGUGAGUAUUAUUAAAAUGCUGAGAUCUAUAAUUAUCCGUGUCAGAAAACUGAGCUUUGUAAGUUAAGUUUUUUAUAUCAAUUUUAAAUUGGUUAUAAAAAUCAAAAAUUUAGUGAACUGAAUCAUCUAAGUAACUAAAUAAAAAAAUCAACCGAGAUGCUGUAAGUAGUGGCGAGCGAAAGCAGUAAAGACUAUAA
rnacentral:rRNA from 13 species